AUGAUUAAUUAAGAUGAAACUGAAUAUUAUCCAACACUUGAUCUGAGAUACUACAGUAUCGACUGAUGUCACUCGAUUUGCUUCUGAAUCAUU